GCGCUCCUGGGUUAGGCUGGUGCAAGGGUCUAGGCUCCUUUAAAAGCUUGUGCUCUAUGGUGAUAUCAUCAUGGCCAGCAGGUGGCGAUGUUACCACGUGCAGGAAGAGCUUUGGCCGGUACGUUGAAUGGCCACCGCCUCCCUUCCCAGAAAAAAAUUAAGCAAGCUAGUGUUUUGUUUUGUUUUGUUUUUUUCCUAUUCUUUGAAAAAUGGGGAGAGAACUUUAUAAAAGGAUGUAUACUUCUAAGCUUUAGGUAGGAUUUAAAAUGGAUUUGAAAGAAACCAUAUAACCCUUCUCAGGCUUAUACUAUCUUUCUGCUGGGUUCAACCAUAUCUACAGCCCCUCCCUCCUUCCUUCCCUCCCUUCUUCCCUUCUUCCUGUGUUGGCACUGCUUUAUUUAUUUAACGCAUGGAAUUUUAAAACAAUCUAACAUAAAUUAGGAAAGAUCGCAUUUGUGCUUGUUAAUUGCACAUAAGAUUCUAUUUCAAAAAACUGCCUAAAAAAAAAAAAAAAAAAAGGACGAGAAAGGACAUAUGCCAAAAUGUUAACAGUGGUUUCCUCUGGAGGACUUUUUCUUUUUGCAUUUCGUUGAUUUUAUUUUUAAAUUUAGGGUAUGACAAGAUUGACUCAUUUUGGUGUGCAGUUUCGUGAAUUUUAGUGUUCAUAUAAAUUUGUGUGACCACCGCGUGGCUGCUUUCUCUGGUCUGUUCCCUCCCCAGGCCCUCACUGCCUGUCCUGGUUCUCCUACCUUUCUGCCCACUCCUUCCUGCACCCCUCAGGAGACUUCUCCUCUAGAUGCUCUGAAAUGCUGGUGUUUCAGCUUUUUUUUUUUUUUUUUAAAUAGGAAUUCUAUCCUAGUGGCGAUCUUCUCCACUCCUGUAGAUUCUGCUAGGCACCUUCAUUCUAUCUCCUGGGUUCUAUCUGUCUCCACUCCAGACCCAUUUGAUCGCACACCUUUUGGACAACACUGCAUGUCACAAAGUAAACUCAUUUUCUUAUCCUGUUGUCAGUGUGUCUCUUGCAUCCCAAAUCUGUUAAUGGUGACCCUGGAAACCUGGCCUCCCAAGCUGGACCCCUCAGAGGCACUUCCGUGCUCUUUUCCCAUUGCCCACAACGUAAAUCAACAGGCAGAUCUCUGUGUGUUGUGUUUUAGAUGUGUCCGUUGAUCCAGUGCCUCACCUCCGUCCUCCUUGUACUUUGCCCUAAUCACAUCUUGCCUGGGUCACCUGGAAAAUCCAAGUGGUCUCUUAAUCUCUAGUUUCUGUUCUCUCCUGUCCCCAGCUUGGGCUGCAGCUAAAACACAGUCAUCGUCAUUUCAUUCCCAUGUGUAAAACCCUUCCAGAGCCAUGGCGUGGCAUUCAAAGGCUUCCUGGUUACACCCAGAGCAUUCACAACGCACCCCCCCUCCCCCCGUGAACCUCCCCCUUCCGUGAACCUUCCUCAGUCCCCUGUCUUCCUCUGCUGGCCUGGCCCACCUCCGAGCUUCAGCUCCACGGUGCUGGCUGGGAUGCUCCACAACCACUCCCUUGCACAUCCUUGUGCCAGACAGCCUCCCCUCUAUUGUCAGUAGUUAGUUCAGAAUUCCCUCUUCUGUGCAGCUGUUCUUGGCGCUCUCAGGAGCACGGAAUUGUUCUUUUGGGUUCUCCUGCAUGCUGACCAUUGGGAGGUGGGAGUUAUACCCCAGAAGAGAUGGUCAGAAUCUGAAGGACCUUGAUCAUAGGAGGAACAGUCAGAAAAUAACAGAAUGAUAUAGACCAAAUGAGGCUCGAACUAGGAACUGCGGGGAAAACAAAGACCAGAGGGGUGAUGGUGACAGCCAUCACAGAACCCACACUGUUCAUGAGCCAAAGGCACUGUGUGAUUCUUGUGAUCUGUCUUCCCUUCAACCCAAAGCAUCUGUUUUUCAGAUUAGGAAGGCAAAGUUCAAAGUCUUUGGGCAAUGCGUCCCAAAUAAUACAGUUGGUGUCAGAGGCAGUUUUGUGUGAGUCCAAAAUCUCAUGCUUUCCAGCAAAGGAGCUUUGCUCGCAGGGUGCCCCCGACUCUGCUCAGGAGGGAGCAGCUUCUGAGUCACAAGCACGUUAUGCGUCCACAUAACCCUGAAAACCCUGCUCGUCAGACCGAGUGGUCAUUUGCUACUGGCAUGUGUUCUCCGUGGUUACUGUCCUUCAAAAGAAGCCCCUUCAGUGCUAGCCCUCUAAAGUGCCCUGAGCCCAGAGGGUGUGAAAGCCGGCUCUGCGGGGCGAGGGUGGAGGCUUCCUCCUCGGCUUGGUCCAGUACCCAGAUGGGAAUAGGGAGCAGCGUAACGGGGUCCAGAAGCAAGACCAUCUCCUGGUCCUUCUGAGUCCCUCCUGGCAAAUGGUGUGGUUGCCAGAGCUCUGGGCCAAUCCGUUUUCUGGUGCAAGACUGAAAAAACCAGGCCAGAUCGAGAAGGACAGGAGGACAGAGAGUAGAAAACUGUCAGGAGUUCUGGAUUCCAGCUCUCACCCUCACCAGCUCUGUGGUUUGAGCAAAUAUCUUAAUGCCUCUGGGCCUCAGAGGCCCUCCUGUCAAGUGCGGGUCAGAACGCUUAUCCAACACACCAGGCUUCAAUGAGAAGGCCUAUUUGCCAUCUGCAAAUACCAUGUCUGGUUCUCCGGCAGCCCGUGAGCUCCUGAGGGCACAGGACUGUCUUCUUCAUCUGCGUCUUUCAGUUAGGAGACCACGUGCUAAGGGUGGCAUACCUCUUAAUAAGUACAGAGUUUGCUCUUUUAGGAUUCUGACAAUAGUACUCUCCUAUAUUUGGUAGUUAAUGAAUUCGUUCAUGAUUCUAUUCACUUUUUUCAAUAACUAUAUUUUUUUUAAUGUUUAGGUUUUGUUUUUUUAAAUGUUUGUUUAUUUUUGAGAGAGAGAGUGUGUGUGAGCUGGGGAGGGGCAGGGAGGCGGGAGAGAGGAUAAGAAGUAGGCUCUGCACUGACAGCAUGGAGCCUGAUGUGGGGCUCGAACUCAUGAACCAUGAGAUCAUGACCUGAGCUGAAGUCAGAUGCUUCACCAGCUGAGCCUCCCAGGCGCCCCUCAGCAACUCUUUGUCGAUCGCUUACCGUGUACCAGGCCGGUGGUGAUGGAAACAACGAAGAGCGGCCUCCAUCACUGUGAGAUUGGAGUGCUGCUGGGGGACACCGUCAUCGCGGGGACAUACGCGCAAGUGCAGGAGAGUUCGGAGAAGGAAAGUACCUGGGGAAAAUGGGUGCAACGGAUGCAGAGAUGGUUGGUGGGAAUGCAGACUGGUCAGCAGCUCUGGAAAACAGUAUGGAGUUUCCUCAAAAAACUAAAAAUAGAACUACCCUACGACCCAGCAGUUGCACCACUAGGUCACGUGCACCUACCGUUCAAGGCAAUGCCCACCCCGAAUCCAGCCUUUUCAGCUUGUCUACAGCAAAUACACCACCAGUGUAAUGUGGUGAUUAAGAACAUGGACUUUCAAUCCAGAACGUGUUCACAUCCUACCUCUGCCUCUUACCGGCUGUGUGGUCUUGGGCAAGUUACUUUACUUCUCUGUGCCUCUGUAUUCUCAGCCAUACAUUGGGAAUGAUUAUAUUCCAUACCUCCCAGGGUUAUUGUGAAGGUUAAAGGAAAUGAUACAUGUAAAGUUCUUAGAAUCUCACCUAGUGUAGCGAGUACUCAAUUGAUACUACCCAUUCCAGGAAUCUCCAUCCCAGCUGAAUUUCUCUGUUAAUGGCUUUGAGUGUGCUUGGGACUUUCCUGCCUUUGAUUUCAGAUGCUCUUUUCACCUGCCUGGAAUGAUGUCUCCUCCCUUUUGCUUGUAUCCAGAUUCUCCUUGCCGUCUCUAGCUGAGCACGCUCAGGAAAUGGCCAGGCCCAGGCCUCACACCCACUCUGGUUCCACGACUCAGCUACUGUGCGGGGCCGCCUGGCCUCUCUGGCUUCCAUCUUUCCCUCUUGAAGUGGAAAUGUUUAUGCAGACCUUGUGGAGUUGUCAAAGGUGAAAUCCUCAAACUCUGGCAGGUAGUAGGUACUUAAGAAAUGAGAGAUGUUAUCAAGCCAGAUCUUACUAAUCCUGCCUGCCUGGGUGUCCUCUCUGAACUCUUCUGGUAACUGUAAAUUCCACCAUUUAUCUGGUCACUCAUUGACUGUGUGGUGCUUUGUAUCACCUUUUAAAUGUUUUUCUUCUUCUGCUUGGAACUAUUAUCAGAAUCUUUGGAAUCUUACUGAUGCUCAGCUUUCAAAUACACACUACACCUAGUACCCUGUUCACUGCACUGGGUGUCCCUUGAGGGAAGACGCUGUGCAAACAUUUCUUGUCUCCCUUUUUUUUUUUUUUUUUUUUUUUUUUUGAGAGAGAGAGAGUGUGUGAGCAGGGGAGAGAGGCAGAGGGAGACAGAGAGAGGAGAGAGAAUCUUAAGCUGAGUGUGGAGCCCGAUGUGGGGCUUGAUCCCAUGAGUUUUGGUUCAUGACCUGAGCUGAAAUCAAGAGUCGGAUGCUCAACCAAUGGAGCCACCCAGGCGCCCCUGCACGAAUGUUUCUAAUUUGACUGCAGUUCGUUGAGACAUCUUUCUGUGAUGGCAGCCUUACGCUGGGCUUACAUUUUCCAGUGCUUUCUUGUCUUUUCGCUUUGGUACAGCAGCUGGUUGUGGCCCAGGGCUUUGGGGCCACGGCUCUCUUGUUAAUGUUUAUUUUUUUGCAUUUACUUUUGUGUGGUAGACUCUUUGUCCCUGGCUUGGACUUUUCCUGGUGGUCCCAUUGGCCGGCCGGCCCCUGGGUCCAGACAGAUAAGGGCUCAUUCUCAAAACCGGCUUGGUAAUUGUUGGGUGCCUUUUCCCCUUCACUUUCUAAUCCAUGAAAACACCACCCUUCUGAUUGUGUUUCAAGAAACAUGUCCAUGGGCCUGUGCUCUGGACGUUUCCUCACCUGAGAUAAGGUCUGGGUGUCAGCUCUAAGGAGGAAGGUACAUCGUAGAGGAAGAUUUCCCAGGCAGUGACACCACCUCGGGCAGCAGUAGCCUGAGACUGGACUGCCCGGGUGCAGGUGGAGACCAAGCCCACCCCCAGAGGAGGGGCAGCCGGGACCACCUGGGCGUCCCCUCCCACCCCAGGCAUGGACUUGAGAGGCGCAGGGGCUGUCCUACCUGGAGAGGAGCCCCGGGGCCAGCAAUGGCAGCACUCCAAGGCCUCACAGUGGGGUUGGGUGGUUGUGGCCGUGGUUGCUGGAGCAGACAGUCCCUGGAUAAAGUCCAGAGUCUGAACAUUCUGGUCCUGGCUCUCAGUCCCUCACUGAGGGAUCCUGCACAUUGGAGCUCAGUUUUCUGCCUGCAAAGGAAGUGUGCCAUAUCAGUAGUUCAAACACUUGUUUUUUAAAAACACAUCAGAGUGCUUUAAAUUUUUUUCUAAAGCAGAAUCAUAUGCAUAUUCCAGGUUUACAGAGCAGAUAAAAAGAGCAGGUCCGUGUGAAGGAGGUAGGACUCCCAGGAUCCUGCCAUUCCCCGCGCCCACAUGCAUCCUGCAAGGCUCAUUCAUACAAACUUGGCUUCACAGUUUGAACCUGCUGGACUAGUUAGUCUCAGUUGUCUGUGUGAGGUCUUCCAGGCCACUUCUGGGGACUCUCCCCUUCCCUUGGAGAUGAAGAAGCAGGGUCUGUGGACAGGGUGACGGCAGAAUAGUCCCCCGUUAUGACCUAAUCAGAAAGGAUGCUGGUCAGAGUACUGGUUGGAUAUAGUGACUUUGUGUGUUAGAAAUACAUAAGCUAUUACAUGAAUUUUAUUGUAUUAUAUUAGUAGUAGUAUAUUAUGUAAUGUAUUUCAAAAUACAUUAUUUAUGUCCCUUUCAGAUUCAUCUGAAUAAAAACUGGGUGCUAUUAUUUUGAACAGUGUCCACAGGAAAUAGUAAAUAACAAAUAAACAUCCCUAAAUCAAAACACAGAAACCUUUAUUCUGGAUCUUUGGUAGGGUGACAGUGUCCAGGUGGGAGGGACAGAAUGGGCAGGGACUUGAGGUGACUCUGAGCAUGGUGAGGGCAAGAAUAACACCAAUCACACAAUGAAGGGCUUACUCCAAGAUAGGAUGGUUUCCAUGCCCAGCAGCCCACGAAAUAGGUAUGUUUUCUAGGGCUACCUUCACAAGUUAUCACAAAUUUAGUGGCUUUAAGAAAACUCCAGAAAUUUAUUUUGUCACCAUUCUUGAGGGCAGAAUCUGAAAAAUAAGGUGCCAGCAGGACCAUACUCUCUCCAAAGGCUCUGGAGGGAGAAUCAUUGUUUCUUACAGAUUCCGGUGGCUCUGGAUAUUUCUUGGCCUGUGACUAUAUAAUCCCAUCCUGGUCUGUGUCCUCAUACAGACUUCUUCUCUUUUCCCUGUGUCUUCCUUCCUGGUAUCUCUCAUAAGAUACUUGUUACUGGAUUUAAGGUCCACCUGCGUAACCUAGGGUGAUCUCAAGAUCCUUAACUUUGUAACAUCUGCAAAAACUCUUUUUCAAUUAAAGUCACAUCGAUAGGUUCUGGGGUUAUAAUGUGGACAUAUUUUGGGGGGGCAUUAUUAACCUUGCUGUUAGAUAUGAGGAAACUGGGGUUCAAUCCAGGGAGGUAAUUUGCCCAUAGCCACUCAACUGGUGGGUGGCAGGGCCAGGCUAGGACUCACCCUGAGGGCUGCAUUGUGCUCUGUGUGCUACAGAACAUUGUGGGAUGUCAGGGAAGGGACCAGGCAGAUGUAGGACCGUCCCUAACAAUCCAGCUUGGAAGGCCUUGCUUCAUGUACAGAGGGUGUUCAAUGUCAGUCUGUUAUUGAGAUGGUUAUUGAUUUUGAGGCUUUGACCUGAGCUUCUCCAGGGUGGCAAACUGAUGUGUCUGCCUCUGUAUCCCUAGCACAGUGCUGAAAAUGUUGGAUACAUGAAAUUGAACGCCUGUGAUGAGAGGCUGUGCUCAUAUGUCUGUGUACCUUUACGGUGUCUACCACGUGUGGUUAGUGGUGGUGCUUAGACACUAUGGAAAAGGCUGUGUGGGACCAGAGCUCGCUCCAACAGGCCCAAUUCUUGCCUUACCCACAGUCUGCUCAAGGGACUUCAGAUCGGUCACUCUGCCUUGCUUUCCAAAUAUGUCAGGUGAGGUUAGUAAUACUCUUCUACAGAUCUCACUGGAUGUUUCUGUGUUUUUGUUGACUGGGGAGUCAGUGCGGGGGGCUUCUGUCUGAAGGCAGGAGGAAGUAAAAGAUAAAAUUUCCAAGCCCCUUCCAGCCCUAGGGUUUUAGGAAAAAAUUUAAUCAUGUUUUACACCACCAGAUGUAAGCACAUAUUGUAACUGCGGGGGCAACAUGAAAUUGAGGACAAUCAUGCUCUUUCACUUAGAUGAGAGCAAGACGCACUCCACUUAAACUGUGAUUAGAAGGAUGGAGGUCAGACAGAAAUCCCUUUGUGAUGUCAGGGGAUCUGUUUCAUGGGAACGGGGCCUGAGGCCGACUUCUCAGGGGGGCCAUUCGGGAGCUGGGAGGACUGUGGUGUGCAGAGGCAGGAGUUAAGGGUGACAAAACAUUUUGACAUAAGGAGAACUUUCCAGAAGUUAAGGCUGAGAAACCUUGCAGUGGGUGGUUGGGAAUUGAGACGGUCCCAGAAUCACCAAAACUAAGGCCAGAUCCUUAAUGCUCUUCCAUUGAUUUGGAGGUCUUUCUGUCUGGUAGGGGGAUGGGAGGCCUCCUAGAGAUCCAGCUUGUUUAGAGCUUGGACUUUGGAGUCAGGCAGACUGGGUUAAUUGCCUCCAUUGUCAUGUACCAGUUGUUGACCUUGUAUGAGUUCCUUAACCUUCCCAGAUUCCUUGUGGUAUGGGUACGCCCCCCGCCUCCAGAGCUUAAGUGUGAGCAUUAGAUGAGUCAGGGCAGGCGACACACCUAGCACUGUGCUUGGCACACAAUAAGCGCCAAGAGGCUCUGACAUAGACAUGUGAAACCCUGUCCUCCUUGGACAAGCUCCAGGUUGGGGCAGCAGAGCCCCUGUGCUGUUGGAUAACAAAUGCUUUCUGUGUUUCAAAAUGAAGGCAGAUUGAAACUUGAUAUUUUCUUGAUCAAAAACCUUAAGGCAAGGCUUGGUGGAGCACCGAAAGUCCUGUUUUCUGUGACUGGGGGUCUCCGGCAGGAUGUUGGAAUGUCUCUGCUCCCCCUGACGUCCUUCUGCUGCUUUGGUGACUGCCCACAGACAGACCAGCUCCCAGUCAUCUGAAACACCACUCAGAAGGCAGGAAUUUGCAAUCCGUUCCAAGCUGGAAGUGACUUUCAUGUGAUGGGGCCGCACUGCUCUGUGACUCUGUAACCAAUUCUCCCCACGCUGGCAGCUCUCCAGAUGCCUGGGAUGUGAUCAGUUGACCAAACAAAACGGCAGGUCCGUCCAGGAGAACGCUGUGUCUGGCUUCGGGAGCAAAAGCUCCCAGCACAUGCAAAACUCAGCCCCCAAAUUUCUUCAUGUCUUUCUCUGUUCUUUUCAGGCAGCUCUUUUUAGGUAAGAAAUCUACAACCUUCAACUUUGAAAGUCAAGUUAAGUUUAGGUAAAACAAAUCAGUGCUGGAAUCAGUGAUUGAAGAGGUCACUGUAGGUGGCAAACGUCCAUUUUUGUUCAACCGAAGUAAACAGAAAUGAACGGAAUUGCCUUCCACACAUUUUUGUGAGUAUGCUGGGGACGUUCAUCACCCCCAAGGUGGCCUUAUAGAAGGAAGGUUGGCCUGGGGAUCCCAACGCUGGCUUCUGGCACCAGCUGGGCUCCUAACUCCCUGUGAAACUCAGAGCCGACCUCCUAACUUCUCAGGAAGUCAGUUUCCCUAUUUCUAAAAUUAGUUGGCUUCCAACUUUCCUUCCCUGUUUAAAAUUCUUUGAUGUGUUUUCGAACGCUAGAUAAAUUCUCUGUUGAUAGAUCCGUAGAAGAAUUUGUAAGGAUCUCUUAUGUUUGUAUAGCGCUUUAUUGUUUUAUUUGUUGUCCAGAAGCUUCUGAGCUUGGCAGGGCGGAUUGGGUUACCCUAGCACAUGGAUGAGGAAACUGAGGUCCAGAUAAAUUGAGUUCCUGGCUUGGCCAUGGCUUUUUGGUGGGUGAACGGAAGUGGUGAGGACAAAGCCCAGAUCUCCUGGUGUCUAGUCCAGAAUUCGUCUCCAAUCUUGACACGUGCAAUUGUUGAUGGAGCAAGAAACCAUAUCCAACCCCGGCUCUCUCCAUCAGAGGCAAAAUCCCACCCAACGUGUCCUUCUGCGUGAUGGCCAUCGGCCACUUCAGGUGGCUCUUCUUGGGUACUCAUUUGGAGUUCAGUUUAUGAUAAAAUGCGCUGCAUGUUACAAAUGCAGAUUUCAAGGUGAAUCUUACAGUCAGGCAUGCAAAGUCAGCACAGGUUACGUAGGAGUUUAGGUUGGAAACAGGCUUGCCGGAUUAACUGGCUGCUCAUUUACCUUCGCUUUUGCAUCUUUAAAACAGCUGGCGCAAUAUCUAAUAUUUACGAUACUCGGUACAUUAAUUCUCGUGCUCUCUCCAUGUUAUCUUGAUCAUUUGUAAUGGAAUUUGGGCAUUCAUUACAAUUAUGUAGGGACACUGAGUGAUAGAAUGGUUGUAACGUAUUGCUGUGGGAAACACAUGAAACAAAGUGGUGUGUUUUGUCUGUACUCAUUUUUGUAUAGAAAUGUGAAAUCAGGUAUGUAACGAAGAGAGGAUUCUCAUGUGGGUUAAUAGUGGUUUUCGUAUAGGUGGUGGGACCACCAGUGCGUUUUACUUUUUUUUUUUUUUUUUUGCUUUUCUGCUUUUCCAUAAGUGUGUAAAUUGACCAUAUCUUAAUGCGGUAAUCAGUUUAAAAGUUUCUUCCUUUGAAGGUGUACGGGUGAUGAUUUUAUCUGCUUGGGAGAAAAAAUUGGACAACGAGUUUACUUCCAGGUGGUUGUUGAAGAAGACUGAUUCCCAAAUAUUUUCAACACAGACACAAAUUGUGCCAUCGGCAGUAAUUGCUAAUUGACCCUCUUUCUGUUCAAUUAAGACAGCCACUCUCAGCUGCUGUGGGUCCGCGGGAUUGAGGAUGCGGCAGCCAAGCGCAGUUGGGGCCCGGGCUUCACAUCUGCUGCCUGCCUGUGCCAAACAGCUGUGUUCUGAGCAAGCAACGUGAUGAUGCUCACCUGCAGGAAAUGUGGGCCGUGGAGUUGGUCUGCAGGCCGCGGGGGAUAAAGAGCGGACGGUUCCACUCCGACAGGUGGGCCAGCCGAUCGGGAAGGGGCUUGCGCCGUGCGAAAAGAAUGUCUUGCUCUUAGUAAUGCUUGAGGGUGACCUGGCUGUUGGAGAAGACCCUGGGCAGGACACCAGUGCAGCUUGGCUGAGAGCCCGCAGUCCCUGGGCCCGGGGCUUACGACAGUGAGGAUCCUGACGGGAGUCUCCCCCCAAGCUCCCUAGUGGGACCGGGGAGAGACGGAAUGACAGAGGGGAAAAACGGCGGACACAUAGAGGCAUCAGCUGAACACACAAGUCUCUGCUCGAAGGUGGAUUUUUGGCACAUUUCUCUCAGUCUCAUCAGGAGCAGAGAGGAGGACUUUCUUUGCUCUCAGUAAGCAAUAGCUCCCAAACUGAAAAAUGAAGUAACUUUAUUUCAUACACGAUUGUACAUUUUUAUUUUGGUUUUUGUGUUUAAGUGUAUUUAAUUUUAUGGUUGAGUUUUGUGGCAAGUGAUACUGCUUUUCCGUUUCGGAAAGUAACGGUGUUCCCUUAAAAGCAUCUUGAUUUAAGUAAGAAAGGGGUCACUUAUAAUGUUAUUAAUGAUACAGUUAGAGUGUGGAAUUGGCAAAAGUAUUGGAAGUGUGAUGCAAACAGUUGAAAUGUGGGCAUCACCGUUAUUCACCAGCCUGGGGUUGGAAGGCCUGGGGUUCUGCUGUCUCACCUACUGAGUGAUUGUAAGUCAGCGGCUUCCAAACCUGUGUACUGGAAUCACCUGGCAAGGGGGCGGGGCUUCCAAACUGCUGCUGCCCAUCUCCCACCCCCAGAGAUUCCAGUUUAAUAGGUCUGGGGUCUGUCCUGGGCUUUGGAUGUUGUCAGUGAUCCCCAAUGGUCCUAACGUCAGGCUCCUUAGGAGCUACUGCCAUAGAACGUUCUUUGAUGUCAUAGAGACUGAGUCUCCUUGUCUACAGUAUGGGUGAGUUGAGCCCCUAUGAUUCAGGAUCUCUGUGUUCUUAAAAAUAUAAGCAAAUGCCUUCAAGUGAGUGGCUCACCAUUUUAUCCCUAAAAGGGAUUGCUGAAUGGGAUGAGUCAUCUGGGUUCUAGAUGGAGAAGAAAAUGCCAAUGCAGAUCGAGUCUGGGGCUGUUGGUGCGAAGGGAAGAAGGUGGAACAGAAGAUGGAGAGGAAGGGGGUGCCUUGCAGAAACUCUUCCUCUCAGCCAGCCUCGCUGAUCGUUCAUAUUUUCAGAUAGAAAUGGGGUGGCAUCAGGCAGAGCUCAGAUCUGGACCUAGGAGACAUGGGCUGCUAUGGGCUAGAGACAUGGUCUCAGACAAGCCCUUUUACCUCUUUGUGCCAGUUUCUCCAUUUGGAUAAUGAGGGGGUGGACUAAUUGGUUUAUAAGGUUCCUUCCAUUGUGUGUGGUAAGAUCACCCAAGACUUCCUCCCUUUCACCGUCCUCCCCCACCAAGUCGUUUCUUGGCUUUUUGCCAACGGAAUCCCCAACUCCAAGGGCCAGUAGAUGGCGGUAGAGUCUUUUGAAUUGGGAUUUUAGAGCUGGCUCACCAGAUUUCAGCCUCCUCCCCUGGCAAUGCUGGGAGUGGGGCCCUGGCUGAGCUCAACAGCUGCUGUCUGGAUGUAUUCAUUUGUGAGCCACAAAGGGGCAAAAUUUAAAGGAAUAGUAUUUCUUUGGAGGUCCUGCCCAACCAGAGCACGGCACAGUAGGACCUAGCUGGUCCUCAGAGCCCAGUUGCAUUUUUGCUCUCUCACAGGUCAAGCCCCACUCCCGCCGCUGGGCCUGAUAUUUGGUUCACGUUCCUACAGUGAUGCACGAAUACAGGAGUGUGGGAGAGCAUAAUAGGACUUCUGUAGUAAGAGAGAAACCUGGGCCAUUUUUUAGGCAAAACCAAUUUCUGGCAGGGACUUAAAUGUGCACAUUACUUGAUAGUUUUAAAGGGCAUUCAUAUAUGUGAACUCACUUCAUCUUCGAAGCAAGCCUUUGAAGUUGGUGGGACCAAUUAAUUUUCAGCUUCGUUUGUCGGGUGAGGAAGCUGAGUCUCAGGGUAACCAGGAAAGGGAUUUGUUCAAAGACCUCCUGCUCUAAGGAUGUGAUCAGAAGUUGAACCCGAGUCAUUUGAUCCCUUAGUCCAGUUCUCUUUCUGCUGAUGGAGGCACAUGGGCUAACGUGUCUCACACUGGGAUUCCUGUAGGAACUUGCGGGGAUAUACAUUUGAGAAGUCUUUAUCAUUCACUUGCUGUGUGUCAGGUACCGAGCAAUACAUACAAAAAAAAAAAAAAAAAUUGCCAGUUUCAUUCCUCAUAACAACCCUGCGAAGUAGGGAUUGCUUGAACCCAAUUUAGAGGUGAAAAAACUGAAACCCAGAAGCCAUGACUCCAAAUCACAGGGUAAGUCGUGAGGCUGGGAUGCAAAGGCAGGCAGUGGUGUUCUUGCUGUCGAGAGGGAGGGAGCGAAACCAUAAGAGACUCUUAAAAACUGAGAACAAACUGAGGGUUGAUGGGGGGGGUGGGUGAUGGGUAUUGAGGAGGGCACCUGUUGGGAUGAGCACUGGGCAUUGUAUGAAAAACAAUUUGACAAUACAUUUCAUAUUUUAAAAAAAUAAUAAAAAAUAAAAACACCUUUGUUGAGAUGUAAUUCACAUACUCUGCAAUUCGCCUACUGAAGGUAUAUAGUUUAGUAGUUUUUAGUAUAUUUAGCAGAGAUGAGAAAACAUCACCACAGUCCAUUUUAGAACAUUUUUUUUGUCACCCUAACAGGAAACCGUGUUUCCGUUACUGGCUGGGCCGUGCCGUUCUUAACUGCUAUGCUGUAUUCCAUGUCCAUGGAUAGGCAUGCGUCAGUAUGUCCUGUCUUCCAAGAGUCGUGCUGGCACAUAGGUCGAUUAUUGCAUUACAAUGCAGUAGACACGAUGGAGGUUGAGGCCCAAAGCGCUAAAGGCCUAUAGUGUGAUGCAGAUCCUCAAAGCAAGGACUUUCACCUAGAGAGAGAGAAAACGGUUUUCUCUACAGGGCCUGAGUUUUCUGUUUGUAACAGAGCUGUGGGUUAAUGCAUCAAAUACACCUGGAAAUUAAGAUGAUCUUCCGUAGAGGAGAUACUUAAACCUAGUAGGCCAGGGGUUAGUUACUGGGGUGUUAUCAGGUUGGCCCAAGACCCUUUUCAGUCCUCAUGGGAAUGUGCUGGGCGGGCAAGAGGGUGGGGCAAGAGGUACACUGAAGUGGGUUAGGAGCCCUGAGGCCUGGAUAUUUGGGCUGUCACCAGGAAACUCCGUUGGCUUCCGUGUUAUUCCCCGGGUCAACUUGGUGGGAUAAAUUUUUCCUGCGGGGAAGUUCCUCUAAGAUACGCUUUACCUUGGGAGUUACAGAAACUUCCAAGGAGCAGCCAGAGGAGCAAGGAGCCCAUAGCUGGGUUUCGCUUUGUGUAACGCUGCCUCAGCUUUUUGAGGUUUACGGUGUUGAUGAAGAUCCGUAACAGCCGGCUCCAAACCCGGCUCCAAGGAGAGCUGUUUCUGGGAGGCCCCCCCGAAGUUUGCAUUUCAGCUUCAAGAAUGGCGAGAACAGUACAGUUGAAGGUCUCAUUUUCAUAACCUCACAGUAAUAAUGACAGCUGCCAUUAAUGGAACGCCUUCCAAGUGCCAGAUGGUAUGUUAGGGAUUUUUUGCUUGUUUCACUAAAAUCUGAUAAACCUGACAGGGCCCUGUUCGUACACACGCACUGUAGUGGAAGAUCAGAAGAGGGGAAGUAAUUUGCCCAAGACACAUCUAGCUAGAGGGCAGCAGGGCUGGAAUUCUAACCCUGAGUGUCCAGCUCGUCCCGGGUUGCCUGGGGUCUUCCUGCUUUUGAGACCAGAAGUCCCAUGUCCCAGCAAGUGGCCUCAGUCCUGGGCAGGCUGGGACAGCUGGCGCGCCUAAUAUCCAGGACUGUUGGUUUCCCUCUGCUGGGCCUGCCACAUAGCGCUGAGGUUUUGUUGGCUCCUUUCUUGACAGCAGUACGUGGUUUGGGCUCCCCCUCGAAACCCACUUAGGGACGGGCCAUGCUCCUCCCUGUCUGUCCCCGAGUGCCUGCUCCCUUGCACUACUCGGAGCCUUGUCUCCUUCCAGCUGUUUCCUGGCUCCCUCACUCGCCUACUUGCUCUUGUUUUGAGGCAGGUCCUUUACCGUUUAUCUGUUUGUAGCUUCCCCCCAGCACCCAACCCACUGCUGGCUACACACCAUCUGAAGACUGGGGCUUGGGUUCCUGCUGAGCACCCCACACCCCCAGCUGUGCCCCCUGGGGAAACCACUUCACCUCCCUGGAGCCUUUGCUUCCUCAUCCAAGGCAGGAUGCCAACUGUAUUCCCCUCCCAACACUGCCCCGGGGCUUAACUUAAAUGCAAGAUAGGACCAUUGAUUUUCAACAUGAGAGGCAUGGCACAUGUUGGCUGUCAUUACUGUUGGUGACUUCCUGCUUUCCCUGCCUACCUCGGGAGGGAUAAAUGAGUCCCGGCUCAGUGUGGACCUGACUUAGCACGGGAACUUUUGGUGCUUGCUGGCUGGGCUGCUCGUGGCUCCUGCGUCCUGGGUUUCUUCUCUGCAUUUUGUGGAUUGCAAUGCAGGGUGUUGUCAGUGUCGAAGAAAUCAGUUCGUGGAGCGCUUAGUCUUGUGUCUGGACUGGCUUCAAGCUGGAAAAGGAGGCUGGAACCAGGUGUCUUCAAGUCAGCCAUCAGACCCGGCACUUGGAACACUGGCUCCCAGUGUUGUCAAUAAAUAUUGUGGCCUGAACAAGUGACUGAAUGGAUGAAUGUUUGGGGAACUGCAGCAUCUGCUGAGUAAGGGGUGGAGAGCACACAGGACGGGAGGCAAAACUGCUUCAUAAGGUUAAAAACACUCAAUGCGAACAAAGAGCAUUUCUCACAAACUAUCCUGAAUCUUCUCUAGAGCAAGGCAGCUUCAGAACAAAGGCAGUAAAAGAACAGUGUGAUAAUCGACGAGGUCCCCUGUUCUUCUCACCUCUGCUGUGAGAGUUCUCCCAUGCUACCAUCUACUUGCUUUGGCCUUUCCCACCAGGGUCCGCUCCUGACCAUGCAUUCGCCUCUUGUCAACAGAGCACAGAAACGAGCCAUUCUUGUUGUGUCUAUUUUAGAAGCAUUUUUAGAGCUUAUUUUUGCCUCAUCUCCACGCCAAUCCAGAACUUGCGGCCAUUUUCAAUUAUUUCUGUUACUUCAUUUUAUCUCGCUUGUUAACUUCUUCUUGGUGUCCUUGGCUGGCUUCUUUUCCCCACCCAGACGUCUUACGUUUGUGAGGCCCCAGGCUCCAUAUUUGGGACCUCUUUUCCCUAUCUACACUCCUUCCUUUGGUGACUUCAUUCAGUCUCUUGGCUUCAAUUAUUAUUUAUAUCCUCUGACUCUCAAAUUUCUAUCUCUAGUCUAAAUCUCUAUUGAACUCCUAUAAUCAACUGCCUCCCGGAUAUUCUCACUUGUAUUUUUGGUAGAAAAUACUGAACUCAACAUGUCCCAAACUGUUCUGAUUUGCAUCUCAGCCAGCACCCCCAACCUGCCCCUCCUGUGCCCCUUCCUCUUCAAGCUGCAGCCUCCGGAUUGUUCAGGCCACAAACCUUGGAGACAUCCUUGACUCCACUUACACUCUCAUCCCUACUUCCAAUCUGCCAGAAAAUUUUCAGUUCAACUUAAAAAUACCGUAUUUCCUGGAUACCAAGGUACAGAUCAUGUCAGCUUUUUGUAUCUCCACGUUAGGAAUGUGUCCCGCAAACUGGCAUCUUAAGCUUAACAAGAUGCGGUAUAUCGAGGAUUUGGUCGUUGUUCAGUUCAGCUCUCCACUGUUAACACUCAGCUCAAGGUCGCCAUCAUGUCUCACCUGGAUGACUGUCAAAGCUUCUGGUGUGUUUGGUGUCUCGUCCUCUCCUUUUAUGAUCCAUUGUGUAUUCUCAAAUAGGUAGCCAGGAUAACUCAUUUCCAGCAUAAAUUAGAUCAAAACCUUCCAGUGACUUCCUGUCUCAGACGAAGAAAAAGCUGGUGGUCCCAUAAUGUCCUAAAGACCCUAUGUGACCUGGGCCCUGUUUCCUUUCUGAUCUCAUCCCUACUCUCUUUACCCCUCACUCAAGCAGCCACAGCCCCACUAGCCUUCAUUGUGGUUCUUCAAGACUUUCAGACAUGUUUCCACCUUUGGGUUUUUACAGUGGGUGUUUCUCCUCCUCAGCACACUCCUCCCUCAGGUAUCCAUUUGGCUAACCCCCUUAUUUCCUUCAAGGUUUGUUCAAACAUCAGCUUAUCGAUGAGGUUUCCUCUGACUGCUCUAAUGAAAAUUGCAACGGACACCUUACCCCAGUACUCGACUCCCAUCCUCUGCUCUGUCCUCCUCUCCCCCAUAGCACUUAGCACCUCUCGUGUACUUUACAGUUUACUCAUAAAUACCUGUCUUCAGUUACAGGAAUGUAAACUUCACCAGGGCAAGCACUAUUUUGUCUGUUUUACAUACUGACAUACCCUGAGCACCUAGAACAGGUACUCACAAAUAUUUGUUCAAUGAGCGAAUAGCUUUCAAAUUCAAGAAAAGCAGCCGUGGUCAGAGAAUCCAAAGUCGAGCAUACAGACUUGUCAGAGGCCCUGGUGUGAUUUCAGUGACGGCAAUGAAUGUUUUCCCUCCCUCUCUUUCAAAAUAAGACUCCCAAAGCCGAAGCCAUUAUUGGAAGCAGUGGUGGGGAAAGGGGUGGGGAAGAUGGCCCAUGAGAAACAGCCAAGUCAGCGACUUUAGUGAAGCUUAGGUAAGUCAGAAGCUGAGCGGCCGUGUGUGACUUUCAUUAAUCAUCCCCUUCACACCACAUCAACACAAGUGAUGACUUUUGUCUGCACCUCCUGCCUCCAGUGCCAUGAUAUAUGGCCUGAGAAGAGUCCUGGGCUCUAAUUGUUGAAGACCCCCAAACGAUGAAUGCUCAUAGCCUGGCCUGUGAAGGAAGAGCGAAAUCAUGAUGAAAGGUGGACGCACCAUGCAAAUUGUGUUAGCUUUGGCCUCCCCAGCCUGGCCUGGCUGUUCUCCCUGUACAGGGGCCUGGCAACUGGAUCCGGCAGGAGAAAUGGCACUUAUGCACAGCUUUGUGCCUCCUUGGCUGCGAGGCUCCCUAAGAAGUCAACGGGAGAGGAUGAGGACAGAGUUACAAGAUCAGGCAAAACAGAUUUGGAACCCCUCCUGGGUGCAGUUCUUUUUGCUCUUUUCCCUUCUUUCCACCCCAACAGAGGGCUCCGGGUGAGAGUGCAUUAUUGGUCAGAGAUGAGGGAUCAAGGGUCUCGUUUUGCCAUUUCCCACACCCUUGGGCAAAUUAUUGAUUCUUUUUAGUUCUCCCAUGGGUUUAGAAAGUGAUCAGCUCUUGUAGCUGUAUAGAAUUUUAGAUGUCACAAAUGGCUUUAACACUUAACUAAUACAAGCCUCUCAAUUCUAUUAGGUCAGGGGAGAUACAAUUAUCUCUGUUCUACACACAAGAAAACCCCCACGAUUCAGAGAACUCAAGCCAUUUGUCCAAGGUUACAAAGCUAGUAAAUGGAGAUGAAGUAAAAAUUCAGCACUUUGUUUCUUAGUUGUGUAAAAUUUCAAGAGUCUCUUAGGCAUUCAAAUCUAACUCAUUGACAUUGAAGUUCAAUAACAGUGAUAACCCUACGAAGGGAAGAUUUUCUUAAAAAAGGAAAAUGGAAGAAGAGCAUAAAGACAAUGCUUGACUGAAAGAGCUGAAUCCUGAGUUUUAUUUCUUCAUUCAUUUGUUCAUUCAUUCAUUCAUUUCCCAGGUGUUUUUGAGCACCUGCUUUGUGCUGUGAGCUCUUCUAGAUAUUUUAAGUCCCAUGGCACCUGAAUCUUGGAAUAUCUUUGUAUGGCAUGGAACAAGAUAUUUCAAAAUUUUUUUAUUGUUUAUUUAUUUAUUUUUGAAAGAGAGAUGGAGCGUGAGUGGGGGAGGGGCAGAGAGAGAGGGAGACACAGAAUCCAAAGCAGGCUCCAGGCUCUGAGCUGUCAGCACAGAGCCCAAUGCGGGGCUCUAACCCAUGGACUGUGAGAUCAUGACCUGAGCUGGAGUGGGAUGCUUAACCGGCUGAGCCACCCAGGCACCCCGGAACAAGAUAUUUCCAAUCCUGCAGAAGUUGCUCACCCGACAUGGGUACUCACUGUGGAUAGUGAGCGCACUCUGUGGCUCCUAUAAAAAGCCAUGUCUUUGCUCAUGCCCUUUGUGGGCAGUGGCCUUCCCUCAACAGGCCGCCCCUCUACCUCUGCUCCCCUGUGAAGAUUCCACUCAAGCGUCACCAUGGAUGAAAGCUUCCUUCAUACCCCAGCACUUCCCACAGAAAUGACCCGUGUAAACUCUUUGAACUCUGCAGAAACUGUCACGUACUUGCCAUCCUUCCUCACGUUGGCUCCUGUGUCUGUCUUCCUCUACCAGGCUCUGAGCAUCUUGAUGGAAGAGGUCAUUUCUGUUCAGAAACUAGAAGCGAUCCAGAGACGAGCAUCAUUAACAUUUUGAAAUUUUUCAUUGUAUUAUUGUCUCACAUAUACUUCAGUGCAUUGUUUUUCUAAAUCUGAAAUCAUGUGGCUUUAUUUCCUCUUUUCGAACAAAGGUGGAUUUCCCCCCUAAUUUUUAAUGUUUCUUAUACUGGGACACAUUUUACAACCAAUGUUACAUUAUUAUUAAUAUAGUGUUUAUCAACACCCAAAUUUGAUGUUAAUUUGUCUGAUGAGUCUUUAAAAUUGCUACCGUCUAGGAUUUAAGGACUACUGUGUGUGUGUGCAUGUACUAUAUUUUCCCAAAUAUGUAUGUAUAUGUAUUACUUUCUCAAAUAUACGUAUAUGUAUGUAUAAUUUAUAUAUUCUGUAAUGUGUAAUAGACCACAUAAUAUUAUGUCAUGAGCAUUUUCUCAUGACAGUGAAUAUUCCUUGAUAACAUAAAUUUUAAUGGCUGCCUAGAUGCCUACUCUACAAAUGAACCACAUAGUCUUUGAUUUUUCUUGGCCUUUGAACUGUUUCCAAUUUUUUGCUAAAACGUGUGUACUUCUGUGAUGAACGUCCAUGCACACACAUCUGAUUGCAUCCUUUGAUAAAUCCCAUUAGUAGCAUCACCCACCCAAAGACAAAACCUGUGUAGCCUGCUGGUCCAGGACAGGUUGUCUGAGCUGCCCUUUCCCAGUCCCCGCAGCCUGGGGUCCACCCCAGCGCCACCCUCGAGCACCAAGAUAGUUAUAGACCCCUGAGUGGCUGCCUGAAGGCACCGAAACCUUCUUUGCAAAAAGCACACCAGCAAUUUCAAGAAACACAUUCAGUCUUUUACAAAAGGAGAAAUGAAAAAGAGUAAAGCACAACUGUUGCAUAGUGUCCCUAUCUUUGAACCCAAGUUACUUGAGUCCUGAAAGCCACAGGCUCAGUGUUGUUCCAAACUCUGAUGCGAGGCAGGUAUGGGAAUGAACCCAUCCAGACGGACUCGUACCACAGAGAAAUAAUGAAACAAGGGAGCGGCAGCUUAGGUUUUAUGAAAGCAUGUUCAUCCCAGCUUUGAAACAUUAAUUAAACACCUUCUGUAUGUCAGCAGUGUGCUGGUUUUGGGAAAGGAAUGAUGAACAAGAUCCAACUCUUUCCCGCAGGAGGCUCGGAGACUAGUUGGGGAGUCAGAAUGGUAAAUGCAUACAUUUGAUAAACCGUCAGAGUUGUUUCGCUGGGUUUACGGACAACAGCAAGGGCAAGUGGGAGGAAAGUUCAUUGCAGAUGGCAGAAGGGGGGGUUCAGGAAAGGCUGAGUGUAAGGUGGAGCUGAGGCUGGAAAGAGGAGCGGCGAACCCAGAAUGCUAAAGAAAUUGUGUUUUUCUUGCUUCUUGCUGCAUUACCGAGUACCACCUCCCCUAAGCAGUUUUCCUGAAGGCUCAGUCAUGCUGUUUCCAGGGAGGACACUUUUAUAUUUUUCAUCAUUUUAACACCCUGGCCUGAGGGGAAAUGUAGACCAAUGGCUGCCUUUUUUAGGUUGGUCAACGAGCGUGAACCUGGGCAAAUCUCAGAGGCCGGGAUGACACUGAUUAAGAAUGGCUCCUUCUUGCGGGAUGACAGGAUUGCUCCUUCCCCAACAUAUUUUCUUGUCCUGUAAUAAUUCAGUUUUGCUAAGAAGGCAGAAAGGGAGAAAAUAACUUUCUGGAAAGCGCCCCUGAGGUGUGGGAGCAGAUGUGAACCUUCGUCUGAACAGUUUAAUGAGCCAGAGCUAGGGGAGCACACCCAGUAAUUUACUAGGACAUUGAUAAGACCUUCCUCAUUCAGAGGUCACUUAUCUGGCCACAUGGGCGAUGUGACAAACACCUGAGGACCAGGAUGGGCACAAAAAGACUCAGAGAUGUCAAAGCUAAUGUCAAAAAGCCCAGAGAAUAAAGCAAAAAUGCUUUCUGGCUUUGGUGCAGAACUUAUUUUUUUCUUACUUAAGAAACAGUUCUAUCUUGGCAAUCUGGUUUCCCAAGACACAGCAGAUUAGAUACAAAAAAAUCAAAAGUGUGAAGAGGAAGGGGGUGCAGGGUUCAGCUCAGGCAAGCUGCAUAAAAUCCAGAGACCCUGGCAGAGAACUACCAGGAAAAAAACAGAGAAAACUCAAUAAAUGGCCAUUUUCUGGCAUUUCAUGCCAGGACUGCAGUGUGCUCCUGGUCUAGUGACAGGUCCGUGUGUACAGCUCACGUGGCUGUAAGGUGCAAUGCACGGUGACCAAACAGGACUAAAAUUAUGUUUCAUGUCCUCCGUUUACAAAGCCAAGAGAGUUGAGACUACCUUUCGUUUUGAAUAGCUGAGAUAUUUAAUUCAUAUUUAAAAGGUUUUUUUUGGUAAACUUGGAAAAUCCAUUUAUUUGAAAUUCCUCUUUCUUAAUAAAAUUAGGUUAAUGAGAUGCUACUGUCUCAAAAGGCAGCUACUGUCAAGAGGCAAAGUGGAAGUCAUCUGUAUGUAGGGAGCCCAUGGGGCGUGAGAAAGUCCUGAGUUAGGGCUUUGUAGAGAUCUCCAGGGAGCACGGAGGACAACAGUUUGGAGAUAACAACAGAGAUCAAGUCACGGACGGCCUUGGAUGGCAAGGGACUCGGUGCAGGGUGUUAGCAGGGGAGUCAAGUAGGCAGAUACGUGUUUAAGAAUAAUCAUGGUGACCAUCACAGGACGGAGUGUGACCUGAGUGUAUUAGACAUUUGACCAUUCUGUCCAUUCUCCAGAAUGGCUCCUUUGUCCCCAGACAGAGCGAGUCGAGAGAGGCCCAUUUCUUCACCUGCGGUCUGAUCAGUACAUGGAUGGGCUUGGACACUCACACAGGCAUCGUCACAUGGAACUCCAUCCUUUGCUGGUGCUGUCGCCUGGGACGAGCCAUUUCUCCCCUUGAACCUUCCUUUUUUGAUCUCUACUAUGGGGACUGUAAUCCCUGCCCUUCUUUUCUCACGGGACUUUGGUGAGGAUCAAAUAAACAAGGGAUGGAAAAGUGCCUUAGAAGGCAAAGUACUCUUUUCUCCCCCCAUAAAAAAUACCUUUUGCAGAGCCAAGUCCUGAGCUGGGCAUAAAACAGUGUGAUAAACAGACUCGACUCAUCAAAUUCUGAAAUGCUGCUUGGAUCCUAUGUUGGAUGAUCUUGGUUUGCCGUCCAUACCCACUUUCUGUCCUCCACCUGCUCCGUCCCAGGAGAUUGAGGUCAAGGAGCUGUAUCUUCUGGCAUCCCUUGCUGUCUAGCUUUUGCCUGGGUUUUGUCAAGGGAAGAAGCUAGCAGGAGAACAGGGGGCAGGAGAAGGAGAGAAGCCAGGGCAUCUUGCCAUGGCUUGGCAGGGGUUCUUUUCGACCACUGCAGCCGGCAGAGAGAGCCCGUUGGGCGGCCUCUCCCAUUGUUUAACUCUCAUUGAAUUUUGGUAACCUGCCCUCUUCAGGCCUCGGUGGCCAGUGACCCCCCGCUGUUGCUAGACCCUGGGCCUUCUGCCCUUCUUUCCUGGUUUUCCUCACUCUGCCCACACCUUUGAAAACAGCCUCCUCGUGAAGCUGCCUUCCAUUUCUCUUAUGCCUUCUCCUGUCUUGUGACAGGACUCUAGUCUAUGCAGAUGUUAUAGGACCUUCGGUAAUACCUCAGUUCAAAUUCAUGGGAAGCACUUAUUUAUUUGUUUGUUUAUUUAAUUUUAGACAGAGAGCGCAUGCAAGCAGGGGAGAGGGACAGAAGGAGAGACGGAGAGAGGGAGAGAGAAUCCCAAGCAGACUUCACGCUGUCAGCACAGAGCCGACGCAGGGCUCACUCACAAACCAUGAAAUCAUGACCUGACCUGAAAUCAAGAGUCAGACGCUUACUUGACUGAGCCACCCAGGGGCUUCUUGUUAAUUUUAGACAUUCUAAAAUUACAUUUCCAUGAUAACUAAAUCUAAAUCUAAAUCUACAUUUCCAUGAUAACUAAUGCUUCUGAGAAUUCUUUCCAUGUAUUUAUCGGUCAUUUGUAUAUUUUCUUUUGUGAAAUGUGUCUGCUCAAAUGUUUUGCCUCCUCCCUCCUUUAUUUUUUCAAUUUGGCUAUUUUGCUUAUUAUUGAGUUGCAAAGUUCUUAAAAAAAUUUUUUUUUUAAUUUUAGAGUGAGAGAGAGUGGGGGAGAGGGGUAGAAAGAGAGAGAGAGAGAGAGAGAGAGAGAGAAUCCCAAGCAGGGUCCACACUUAGUGCCGAAUCCAAUGUGGGGCUCGAUCCCAUCUCCCUGGGAUCAUGACCUGCGCCGAAACCAAGUUGAAUGCUCAACUGACUGAGCUACUCAGGCGCCCCUCAAAGUUCUUUAUAUAUUUAUGAAUACAAAUCCAUCGUCAGAUAUGUGUGUUGUAAAUAUGUUUCCAGGCUUGCCUUCUCAUCUUUUCAGUGGUAUCUUUGAAAAGCAGUUUUAAACUUUGAUGGAAUCUAAUUGGUCAAUUUUUUGUCUUUAUGCUUCAUAAGUUUUUUUUCCUAAAAUAGUUUUGCCUAACCUGGUGCUGCAAAAAUUUUCUCUUAUGUGUUCUUUCAGAAGUUUUAUAAUUUCAGUGGUUACAUUUAGGUCUAUAAUCCAUUUAAAAUUAAUUUUGUGAAUGGUGUGUGGGAAAUGUCAAGGGUAAUUUUUCCUAUGUGAAUAUUCAAUUGUUCUAGCACCAUUUGUUAAAAAGAAUAUUCUUUUACUGUUGAAAUGCUGUGGCUUCUUGAUCAAACACUAUAUGCCAGUUUAAGGAUUCAUUUUUUGACUCCCUAUUCUUUUUCUUUGACUUCUGUGUCUGUCCUUAUGCCAGCACCACACUGGUGAUUACUGUAACUUUAAAUUUCUCAAACUUCAACUGUGUUCUUUCUCAAGAUUGUGUUGACUAUUCCAGGUGCUUAGAAUUUUCAUAUUAGUUUUAUUAUUUAUUUGUCUAUUUAUUUUUAAUAUGAAAUGAAUUGUCAAAUUGGUUUCCAUACAACACCCAGUGCACAUCCCAACAGGUGCCCUCCUCAAUACCCAUCACCCACCCUCCCCUCCCACCCACUCCCCAUCAACCCUCAGUUUGUUCUCAGUUUUUAAGAGUCUCAAAGUUUAUUUAUUUUUGAGAGAGAGAGAGAGCGAGCGCACAUGAGCACAGGAAGUGGAGGGACAGAGAGAGAGGGAGACACAGAAUCUGAAACAGGCUCCAGUCUCUGAGCUGUCAGCACAGAGCCUGACGCGGGGCUUGAACUCACAAAACGUUGAGAUCAUGACCUAAGUGGAAGUCUGACACUGAACUGACUGAGCCACCCAGGUGCCCAGAGAAUCUUCAUAUAAGUUUUAGAAUCAGUUUGUCAGGUUUUACAAAACCGCCUGCUAGGAUUAUGAUUGGCGUUGUGUGCAUCUAUUGACAAAUUUGGGAGGAUGGUCAUUUCAUGAUCUUGAACCUUUCAAUCUGUGAAUAUUAGCACAUCUUUCUAUUUAUUAGAGUCUUCUUUAAAUUACAGUUUUCAGUGUACAGGUCUCGCAUAUAGUUUAAAGUUAUUUCCCAUGUAGUUCAUGUUUAUGAUACUGUUGUACACAGUAUUUAGAAAACUUCACCUAGAAUAAAAAAAAAAGAAAACUUCACCUGGAGUUGUUUGAUGCUGGUGUAUGGAAAUACAAUUUAUUAUUAUUUUUUUUAAAUGCUGACCUCCUCCCUUGCAACCUUUUUCAACUCCCUCAUUAGUUCCAAUAGCUUUUUAUUCUUAUAAAAAUAAAAAUCUGGAAGAUUCCUUAAGAUUCUCUUCACGUACGACCAAGCCAUCUGCAAAGAAAGACAAUUUUACUUCACCCUUCUUAACAUGUUGGCCUUCUAUUUCUUUCCUUAACUUAUCACAAUGCCUGUGACCUUUAGUAAAAUGUUGAUUCAAAAUAGUGAAAGCAAAAUUCUUUGCCUUAUUCCUAAAUGUGGAGGUAAACAGUCUUUCAUUUUUAUGUAUGAUGUUAGAGUAGGUUUUUAUUUUUCUUUUUUUAAUGUUUAUUUGUUUUGAGAGAGAGGGUGUAUGUGAACAGGAGAGGGGCAGAGAGAGAGAGAGAAAGAGAGAGGGAGGGAGUGAGGGAGGGAGAGAGAGAGAAUCCCAAGCAGGCUCCAUGCCAUGACCUGAGUUGAAAUCAAGAGCCAGACACUUAACUGACUGAGCUAUCCAGGCGCCCUAGAAUAGGUUUUUCAAAGAUGCUCCCUGUCUGUUUGAGGAAUUUCCUUCUGUUCUUGGUUUGUUGAGAUUUUUAUCACGGGUAGGUUUCAACUUUUGUCAAAUGUCUUUUUUCUGCACCAAUUGAUUUGGUCAUAUGUCUUUUUGUCCUUUAUUCUGUUGAUAUGGUGAAUCAAAUUGAUUAAUUGUGAAUUUUAAAGGGGCUUUGAAUUCCUAGGAUUACAGUUUGUAUAUCCUGUAUUAAAUUCCCACAAAGCUGAGGUCCCAGCCCCUUUCUAAUUGGCUGUAACAUUGCUUAUUUUUUUAGAACCUACAAUUGUACACAUGACAUGAAAUGCUAUCGCUUGUAUGAAAGAGACGAGCUUGAGUCAGGUGCUUCUCAUUGUCCCCACGGCACCGUAUUCUUCCUUUUAGCAAUGUACAUUUUACAUCAAAUGAUGAUUGUUAAUUUCCUUUUUUACCUGUGUAUCUCCCCCAGUGGGAUUUGAACUUUCCGAGAGCUGAGAUGUUGUCCUUUUAUUUUGGUGCCAAAUACAUGAUAAGUUGAGAAGAUGAAGGCUGGUUAUGAAGGGGUGCUUUGCCUCCAUUACUUUUCCUUCUCCCCAGAACCCCACAAAGUUGGCCUUCCUAGCCCAUUUUACAGGUAAGGCUCCGAGAGCAAAAAUCCUGUGUGUGCCCGGUCACCUAGCUGGUAGGCACAAAUCCAUGAUUUGAAGGUUCUGUGCUUUCCACCUGUUGCAGAAUCUCUUAAGUGGUAGGCUAUUAAAUAAUUAUUAGUCAACUGAUUGGCUGAAUGAGUAAACGAAUGAAUGAGUGAGGGUAACCUUUCCCCCUUUUUUUUCAUGAAUGGAACAGGUCCACCUGAUGAAAAAAAAAAUCAACUUGGAAACUGGCACGUUGGCAAGCCAGGAGGGAGGGGGGUGGUGGAGGGGGUAGAGAGUACUUGCUAAAAAAAAGAAAAGGAAGUGUAGACUAUAAAUUUACUUGACAGGGUUGCGUCUCUGUGGCUUAGUCGUUGGCCCCUUCAUCUUGGCAUGAUUAUUAUAUAACAGGGGGAUGGAGAAAUGGCCGGAAAGUAUUGCUUCCUAUUACAUAACUCUCACUGUGGGCCUGACAGCAAUUCUGAUAAUGGGAGAACAGAAAGUGUGCCGCUCUCCAAAUGAAAGACUUCAAGCUUCUUGCAGUGGAAUUAGCCUGGUCUUCAGCCGUUUGGAGCGUUAGAGCAGCGAUGAUUUCCUCAGACAGCCUCAGGCUGUCUCUCCAGUCCUGAGUCUCCGCAGGUGCCCUUCCCGGCCAGGAAACGUCCCCCCCGCCCCCAGGAAAUGUCUUGUCUUCGCAUUCCUCCCAAACACUUGUAAUAUCUUCUAAAUACCUGGUCCUUUAGAGCCCAAAGAGGGCUUUCUGGUGGAGAAUACACUGGAUUCUUUGAGUUUUUUGUCACUAGGUCAAAUGGGCCCCAGUUGAGCUGUGCCGUGUAUUUUUGCUUCCUCACAGUUUCGUGCUGCGGUGAUAAGACAUUAGAACAGUCUUUGAAAAGUUGCUACUUGUCUGUUUUGCAUGUUUCAAAAUGCUGUGUGAUACACGAGGCAUUACCUGGCCGGCUCUGCGGCGGCCUCUCCGCUGAUGGCCCCGAGUUCAGCUACCUUGCAGGUCAGUUAGGAUCAGUCUUCAGAGCACCCAGUCCCAUGGUGCUUUCUGUUUGUGCCUCUCCCUUGUGACCUACACAGAUUCUGCUCAGGGCCCAGCAAUCGUUCUGGGUCUAUACGUCAAACCGAGCGAACACAUGCUGGAAUCCUCCAUUGUCUUUACCCUUACACGCACACCUGCAAUCCUCCAGCAGCUUCUCUGCCUCCUGGGAGAUCUCUGUUCUCCUACCCCCUCAGGGAAGCCACUUCCCCGCUUUCCCUCCUUUCGCUGUGCCUUCUCUAGUGCAACGGCUGGAGUCGAUGUUUUCAAACUUGUAAAUUAAAGCACACCAAAUUUAGGCUGCUAAAACCCUCCAAAUGCUUUCUGUUGCACUUAGAAGCUGUCACACGAUCAGGGCCUGUCUGCUCUUUGACUUUAUCUCCUACCAUUCUUGCUCCAGACAUGCUGGCCUUUCUGUUUCCCGGACGCACUGUCUGAGGCUCUUUGUUCUAGGUGUUCCAACUACUUGAGAGGCUCUUUCCUGGGAUCCUAACAUGGCUGGUUCAUCAGCAAAUGUCAUCUCCUCCCUCCACCCAAUGUAACGUUACCUCUCAUUCUCCCCCUCUCUCUAUUUACAUUGCUUUAUUUUCUUUAGAGACCUCCUUUAUGCUUUUUGUCUAUCUCCACUUAUUUCCAUGUUUAUCGUCUGUUUCGGGGGUUGACAGACUACCAUGGGUCAAAUCAAACCUGCCUGUUUUUGUAAAUAAAGUUUUGUUGGAACACAGCCAUACCCAUUUUUCCAGUGGCUUCUUUGGCUCUGUAAGUGCAGAGCUGAAGAGUUGUGACAGAGACAGUUUGGCCUGCAAAGCCUAAAAUAUUUCCUUCCUGGCCCUUCACAGAGAAGGUUUGCAGACCCCUGCUCUCUCUUUCUCUUACUGUCUUGUUCACUGCCGAUUUCCCAGCAGUCCCUGCCCAUGAUGGUGCCCAGUGAAUUUAACCAAUGUGGGAACACAGGACAUUGUGGUUUUGACUCUAUGUGUGUAUGUCUUUUGAGCCUAUAUUUCUUUCAGGCAAAAGAGAACUAGUAAGGGCCACACCUGUAUUUAUGUGCCCGUGCAUAUGAAAUAUGAGGCAAAAUGGACAUCAUGCAGUUUUGUGUCCACCGAGGGCAGCAUUCCAAACCUGGUUCUGUCACUUAGUGUCUGCAUGACGUUGGAGAAAACACUCAACCUCGUAUGCUUCAGUCUCUCCAUGAAAAAGGAGAAAAUGAUAACUACCUUUAAUGGCUCUAGUGAGCAUUUUAGAGAUAACACUGCCUGACUUCAGAUGCACAACCAAGGCGGUGGAGUGCUUAGCACACUGUACUUAGCUUUCUUGAAGUAGUUUGAAGAAUGGAGUGGCGUGGAGUCCAAAGUAAGACACCAGCAUUUUGGCAAUUCGGUUCAAUUCGACCAACUGACCCAAUAGUAUGUUUAUUAAGCGCCUACUGCCUUCCAGGCACUAUGCUAUGUUCCAGGAAUGUAGAAACUAUCCAAGAAGAGCUUAACAGCUCUCAAAUUCCUGGGUCCCUAGACAAAGUCAAGUACUACAUGCUGGGGGAUGCAGAGACAAACCAGACCCAGCCUGACCCAUGCUGGCCUUCCGAUCUUACACAAGAGUUCAGAGAAGUUCACCUGCUACACCUUAGCAAUGGAAGGUUGUAAGAACCACAAGAGACACGCAGCACCAAAGAUCUAAAGAAGGAGAUAAUACCAUAUCAAGUUUAUUUUUAGGUUCAGACAGAAAGACCCACAGUAUUGUAAGCCUUUUGUUGUUGUUCAUUUAAAUAUAAUCUCCAGUCCCCUCUGAUUUUAGUUUUAUUUUGCUCUUAUAUUAUUGUUUAAAAAUGUUUAUUUACUUAUUUUGAGAUAAAAGAGAGAGAGAGAGAGAGAGAGACAGAAAGAGAGGGAGAGAGACAGAGUAUCCCAUGCUGAGCAUGGAGCCUGAUGUGGGGCUCAAUCACAGGAGUGUGAGAUCUUGACCUGAGCUGAUAUCAACAGUUGGACCCUUAACCAACUGGGCCAUCGAGGUGCCCCCCCCCCCACUCUUAUUUCAUUUUUAAAUGGGUUUUAUUUAUAUAUGGAUUAUUCUAGUAUCUCAAAUCUUGUUAUAUUCCCAAGUAGGUGAGCAACAUAUAGUAAAUUAAAAAUAAUAAUACAAAAGUCUAAUCUUAUUGUAGCUUGAGGGGCAGGUAGACAAAUAUGAUUAUUAGUAACACACCAACUUUUUUUCUUAUACAGAAAGAAAUCUGAGGGAUUGACUUUGGGUGUGAGUUGAGUUAGUCACACGUGGCUCAAUUGCGCAGGCACAUCUCCAUCUGUGUUUUUCAUUCUGGUUUUAGGUAUUAACUGAAGGGCUGGUAUGAUAUUGGACACUCAUAAUGAAGACUUUUUAUCCAGAACCUUUCUUUUGAGAACAUAUCAGAUAGCUUUAGGUACAGUGGUAGGAUCUGAAGAUACAGAGAUGAACAAGUCACUAUUUUAAAACUUUGAGUUCUGAACUCACUAAACGUUGUAUACCUUUCUUAUAAAUGAAAAAUCAAGAAAAUUAAGACAACUGAACAUCUCUUAUCUCUCACCCACUCACUGAGUACAAACUCUGCAUGCGAUCCUAUGUGUUGGAAAAACAAUCAAACAUGUUUCCUGCCCUCUAGAAACUUAGUGUUUUAUGGGGAUGUUCAUGGGUGAAUAGUCAAUGGCUGCAGAGUUUUUAAAGUUCUGUGAUUUAACUUUUAUGGUUGAGGUUAAGUAUAUUGUAGUUCCUGGGUUCAAACCCUGGGCUCACCCCUGACCAUCUGUUUGACCAUUGGCAAAUUAUUUAAUCCUUCAUUAACUCAAUUUCUUCAUCUGCAAAACAUGGAGGUAGUAAUAAUUCUGAUGUGUAGCCUUGUUAAGAGGUUUGUGUGAGAAGACUGUGCUUGGCACAUAUUAAGUGAUCAAUAGAUGUUACUGAUGAUGGUAGAAGUCAUGUGGAGCCUGGAGUAUAAUGUAGUGGAUGGGGUACACAAACAUGGGCUCUUUCGUUUUCAGAAAGGAUCUUCCCUAAACCUUUCCCUUGAGAUCUACGAAUGAUGUUUGCCUCAUCUGUCUUAGAUCCACUCUUUGUGACAUCUGUUCACUUAUUCUCCUUGUUUUUUGUUUCAUUGUUUCUCUCUCCCACUGGAUUUCUCCCUGAAUCUAAUGAGUCCAGCCUAUUUUCUGAUUUUGCCUAAUGGCAUGCACCUAUGGAACUCAGAAAUCUUGAGUGGUCAUUGUGUCAUUCAGAUUCCAUGACCAGAGUCAUUUGAAACUUUUUAAUAUUCUUCAGAUGAAGAAGAGUUUCAGGAAGCAUACUAUAUUUCCUUUAUGUAUUCAACUGAUAGAGAGUAAUAGUAAAGUACGUUAACUUCAAUCAUGGUUUAUUAAGCCCCAGGAAGACAUGAUUUUUUUUUUUAUAUCCUAUACGAUUGGGUACAAUAUAUUUCUAAAAAGCUAUGGAUAGAGGAGAGAAAAUGUAUCGUAUUGCAACUGUAUACCAAGACCUGUGGAAGGCACUGAGGGUCAGGUAGUAACUGAGACAUUUUAUGUCUCUUGCCUUGAUGGCAAUGCAAAGAGAAGUCUAGUCUAUGUUGUUGGGUAAAGAUAGCAAAAGAUGUUCAUUUAAUACCUCCUAUGCUGAACUCACAGGUAAUUUUUAAGUUCAGUUCAGUCCAAUUUAACUUAUUUUAGUUGAAAUUGCUAUCGAUAUUGAUAACCUAACCUGAUCUGCUUUGAGAGUGGUCCAGUUAAAGGCCAGGCAAAUGUGCUUCCGGGGGCUUCCCAGGGACUUGAAUCGGGUAGGGGAGUUUCCUUCUUGGAUUGCAAGGGAAGGAAGACCGCCUCCCAACAAAUUUGAACCCAAAGGGGAUUUGGGGGAUGACUUACGUAACUGAGGCCAAGGAUAAGUGGGAUGUCACCAGGAUUUGCCCUCCUCAUGUGUUAUCUCUCCUUUCUGCAUUCCAGCCUCAUCGUCCUCUCCUUAGUCUGCCUCUUCCACCUAGAAGGGAACACAAUGCUGAAAUCCCACUUUCCAUCACUGGAGAGCACCUGACGCUUUGUCUCUUAGGUGUCUCUGGUUGUCAGCUACCAGGGAAAGGCUCUGGUCAGCCCAGCUUAGGUCAUCUGCAAGCAACCAUCUGGUUCGCAAGAUGCCUGAACUGACUUGCCUUUACAGUUAUCCCAUAGACUCCUGCCGGCACUCAUAUAGCACUUUGAAAUGUGGGAGAGAAGAGAUUCCCAAUUAACUUCUGAUUACAUAAUGAACUGCUUAUCUGAUUUAAAAAACAAUGCAUAUUCACUCUAGAAAAUUUAGAGAACGAAGUUUUAGAAGCAUAAAGAAGCACACUAUUCAGAAACAACUGCAAAGGUAGUUAAAAAAAAACUUAUGAUUUUGGAAUAAUUUUAGAUUUACAGAAAAGUUGCAAAGAUAAUAUGGAACAUUUCCAUAUACACUUCACCCAACUUCCUCUAAGGUUAGCAUCUUGCAUAAUCAUUGUGCAUUUGUCAAACUAAGAAAUUAAAAUAGUACCAUAUUAUUAACUAACUCAAGACUUUAUUUAGAUUUCAACAGUUUCCCUGCUGAUGUUCUUUAUCCCAGGGUCUAAUCUAGGAUACAUUAUAUACGGUCACCGUGCCUCCUUAGUCUCCUUUGAUCUAUGACAUCUUCUCUGUCUUUCCUUGUUUUUUAAUGUUUUUUAGAGCUGAUUUGUUUAUUUUGAGAGAGUGCAAGUUGGGAGGGAGAGAGAGAGAAUCCCAGGCAGGCUCCGUACUACCAGAUGCGGGGCUCAAACCCACAAACCACAAGAUCAUGACUUGAGCCGGUUGGAUGCUCAACCAACUGAGCCACCCAGGUGCCUUUCCUUGGAUUUCAUGGCCACAACAGAUUUAAGGGGUAGAUAUCUUGUAGAAUUUCCCUUGGUUUGGAUUUGUCUGUUUUUCUCCUGAUUAGAUUGGGGUUAUAGGUUUUGGGAAAGAAUACCACAGAGUUGAAGUGCCCUUCUCAUCACAUCAUUGCAGGGGUACAUGCAGUCAACAUGAUUUAUUUUUGAUCAAAAGGUUCUCCACUCUAAGUUAACCAAAUCUCUCUUUCCACACGCUACUCUUUGGAAGGGAGUCACUAAGCUCAGCUCACACUCAAGGAGAGGACAGUUGAGCUCCUCCUCCAAGAGUGGGGGAUGGCCUAUGUAUAUCAGCAAAGGUAGUUUUUAAUAUACAUUUUUUGGACCAAAAAAUUAUACUGCAUGUGCUUUUCUAUCAUCUGCUGUUUUCCUCUUAAUAACAUAGCAUGAAUGGAUUUCCACAUCAAAUAUUCUUUUAUAGUAUGAUUUUUAUUAGCUGUUCAGUAUUUAGCUGUCUGAAUAUAUCAGAAUUUAACCCAUUUAUUAGUUUGGACAUUUAAAUUGUUUCCAGUUAUUUUCCUGGGUAUUAUGAGAAUCACUGUGAUUAACAUCCUCCUAGCUAAAUCUUUGUACAGUUAUUUUUUUCAAGGUAAAAUUCUGAUUAAAACAGAUGUUUCAGAGCAUAUGCAUAUUAAAGAAUUUGCAGGUGUAUAUUGUCAGAUUGCCCCUGAGGUAAGUUCUGUCUCUAUUACCUGCUACCUUCUGCUGGUUUCUCACAGGCAUCCCUGUUGGGAGCUAGGCAGGGAGAAGUUGAUGAGAAAAUGUGGGCAGGGCCACCAUUAUUCAGGGCAGCUUCAAAAAGAGGAGGUGAGGAUGAGGGCUGAACCCUGUUCCUCAAUUUACCAAGCCUGAGAUCCUUCAUUAAUGUUAUGGAAAGGCAUCCCCGUAUUGAGAAGGACAGCUGCACAAUUUAUUUUUCAUUAAAAAAAUUUUUUUUUAAUGUUUGUUUAUUUUUGAGAGAGUGAGACAGACAGAAUGCGAGCAGGGGAGGAGCAGAGAGAGGAGACUCAGAAUCCAAAGCAGGCUCCAGGCUCUGAGCUGUCAGCACAGAGCCCGACACGGGGCUCAAACCCCACAGACCGUGUGAUCAUAACCUGAGCUGAAGUCGGAUGCUUAACCAACCGAGCCACCCAAGCACCCCUAUUCUUCUGUUUAAAAACGUUUUAUUAAACUACAUAUUGGAAGGUAAAACACAUAUUUGAUAAAGUAUAUAGAACAAAUUUAACUAUUAUAAAUACUUUUAGAGUGGACACACAUAUAUCUUUGUCCAUACUUAUGGUUAUUAGGAAUGGGAAAAUCAGUUUCUUCCUUUCUUUUUUUUGUUUAAUCUUAUUUAUUUAUUUAUUUUAACAGAGAGCCCCUGCAUGUGAGCCAGGGAGGGGCAGAGAGAGGGAGAGAGAGAAUCCCAGGCAGGCUCCACACUGUCAGUGCAGAGCCCAACCCACAAACCAUGAGGUCAUGACCUGAGCUGAAGUUGGACGCUUAACUGACUGAGCCACCCAGGCGCCCCAGAAAAAUCAGUUUCUUUUGUUGGGUAUCCGUGCCCAAACAUUCCAUUGCCAGUGUCCCAGUCUAUCAGAGUUCCUUUCUGAUCUACACCUUUUAUCCCUGGAAGUAGCCAUUAUCCUGUCGUUAGUGGUAAUCACUUCCUUGCUGUUCUUUAUUUUUAAACUUACAAAUAAGAUAUAUGCUCAUGGCAGAAUUACCAAACAAUGUGGAAAUUUACAAAGUAAAUGUUUAAAAUGUCUCCCAACACCGGUCUUUUCCCCAGAGCUAUCAGUUAUUAACCAUGAGGUAUAUAUUCUUCUGGGUUGGUGCUCUCCAGUAGAACUUUCUGCAAUGGUGACAUGUUCUGUUUCAACACUGUUUAACACAUUAGGAGCUAGGUACAAUUUACUGUUGAGCAGUUGAAAUGUGGCUAGUGUGACUGAAGAACUUCAUUUUAAAUUUUUAUUUCAUUUUAAUUAAAGUCUAGUAGGCUUGUGUGGCUAGUGGUUACCAUAUUAGACAACACAGCCUUAUGCUUUUGAAACCCAUUCUCCCAUGCUGCCAUGUGGGAUCUUCACAGCAUCGUAUGUGUGAGGAAACAUACCUUGCGGCGAGUCGAAGGUGUCCCACCUAGCAGAUGCAGAGUCCCCUUCUUGACGUCACGCCCUUGGCUCUUUCCACACUGCCCUUCUAGACACAAUCAACACCACUACAAAGGUCAGCUGGGCUUCAGAUUAUGUUUUUAAACAUUUGUCUCAACCAACAGUCUCAGCUGCAGUUUGAGCAGCCCACUCAGGGUGCCGUGUGGUGUGGUUUCGAAAAGGAUGGGUAAGGGUGAUGCUCCCCUCCCCCAGUGACCUUUUUCCUCUGGGUCUACGUUUCCAUGCAGCUAUUUUUGUAAGCUGAAUUUUGUAGCUCUAUCAACUUGUGUUAUCACCCAAAUGAUCUUACUUUAAAAAUAAUCAUUCUCUC